rnacentral:guide_RNA from 1 species
AUAUAUAAUAACAAUGCAGAUAUCUCGUAACUAGUUUUAUAGAUACAAU